GUGUCAGCAGCCGCGGUAAUACGUAGGGUGCAAGCGUUAAUCGGAAUUACUGGGCGUAAAGCGUGCGCAGGCGGUUUUGUAAGUCUGACGUGAAAUCCCCGGGCUCAACCUGGGAAUUGCGUUGGAGACUGCAAGGCUAGAAUCUGGCAGAGGGGGGUAGAAUUCCACGUGUAGCAGUGAAAUGCGUAGAGAUGUGGAGGAACACCGAUGGCGAAGGCAGCCCCCUGGGUCAAGAUUGACGCUCAUGCACGAAAGCGUGGGGAGCAAACAGGAUUAGAUACCCUGGUAGUCCACGCCCUAAACGAUGUCUACUAGUUGUCGGGUCUUAAUUGACUUGGUAACGCAGCUAACGCGUGAAGUAGACCGCCUGGGGAGUACGGUCGCAAGAUUAAAACUCAAAUGAAUUGACGGGG
rnacentral:rRNA from 1 species